rnacentral:rRNA from 1 species
UACGUAGGAGGCAAGCGUUGUCCGGAAUUACUGGGCGUAAAGCGCGUGUAGGUGGUGGGACAAGUCUGCUGUGAAAGCGCCUGGCUUAACCGGGCGAGGUCGGCGGAAACUGUCGCACUCGAGGACGGUAGAGGGGGGUGGAAUUCCCGGUGUAGUGGUGAAAUGCGUAGAGAUCGGGAGGAACACCUGUGGCGAAGGCGGCCCCCUGGGCCGGCCCUGACACUGAGACGCGAAGGCGUGGGGAGCGAACGGGG